rnacentral:rRNA from 1 species
UACCUAACACAUGCAAGUCGAACGGGACCAGUGGCAACUCUGGUUCAGUGGCGGACGGGUGCGUAACACGUGAGGAACAUGACCUUCGGCGGGGGAUAGCCGGCCCAACGGCCGGGUAAUACCGCGUACGACCUUUCGGGGACAUCCCCGGAUGGUGAAAGCAGCAAUGCGCCGAUGGAGUGCCUCGCGGCCUAUCAGCUAGUUGGUGAGGUAACGGCUCACCAAGGCAACGACGGGUAGCUGGUCUGAGAGGAUGGCCAGCCACAUUGGGACUGAGACACGGCCCAGACUCCUACGGGAGGCAGCAGUGGGGAAUAUUGCGCAAUGGACGAAAGUCUGACGCAGCGACGCCGCGUGUGGGAUGACGGUCUUCGGAUUGUAAACCACUGUCGGGAGGGACGAAUACGCCGCAAGGCGGGUGACGGUACCUCCAAAGGAAGCACCGGCUAACUCCGUGCCAGCAGCCGCGGUAAUACGGAGGGGGCAAGCGUUGUUCGGAAUUACUGGGCGUAAAGGGCUCGUAGGCGGCCAACUAAGUCAGACGUGAAAUCCCCAGGCAUCAACCUGGGAACUGCGUCUGAUACUGG